rfam:TPA: Bos taurus chromosome 4, whole genome shotgun sequence.
UCCCUGGUAGCUCAGAUGGUAAAGAAUCUGCCUGCAGUGCAGGAGACCUGGGUUCGAUCCCUGGGUUGGGAA